AAGAAUAUUAGUCAAUGCUCGCAAGAGUGAACUAGCUAACUGAAAUUACAGGAUCCACUACGUGUGGUGAAUGUAAUAACGUAAGGGAAAAAAAUGAUAUUACCUUACUAUUAGUGUUGUCCAAAACUGGUGCCAGAAGACUCGGUAAGGCCAGAGACGCAAACGUUAGUCGUCCUAAUCAGGCGUAAAGGGUAUGUAGGCUGCUUUAAAAGUUUUAUAUUAAUAGCUAAUUAUAAUGUGUAUUAUUAAAGAUAUUUUAAUUAUAUCCUAAUAAGAUAAUAAAUAUUUAUACAUCCAAAUAUAAGAUUAAUUAAAGCUAGGAUCAAAUGGAGGAUAAGUCAAAUAAUACCUAGUGUAGGGUUUAAAUCUGUUGAUGUUAGGUAGAGUACUAACGGUGAAAGCUUUUUAUCUAGAAAUGAUUGACGCUGAGAAACGAAGGUGAGAAUAGGAAAUAGGAUUAGAUACCCAGAUACCUCUCACAGUCAACGAUGAAUGGUGGUUGUUAGUUUUAUUUAACUGAUAACGAUGUUAACACGAUAACCAUUCCGCCUUGCGAGUACGGUUGCAAAACUGAAACCAAAAAAAUUAGUCGGUCUCKAAGCAAACGAAGUGAAGCAUGUUAUUUAAUUCKAUAAUCCGCA
rnacentral:rRNA from 1 species